rnacentral:rRNA from 1 species
UACGUAGGGAGCAAGCGUUGUCCGGAAUCAUUGGGCGUAAAGAGCGCGUAGGCGGCCCUGUAAGUCCGUUCUGAAAGUCAAAGGCUCAACCUUUGAAAGCGGAUGGACACUGCAGGGCUAGAGUCCGGAAGAGGCGAGUGGAAUUCCUGGUGUAGCGGUGGAAUGCGCAGAUAUCAGGAGGAACACCAACGGCGAAGGCAGGUCUCUGGGCUAUAACUGACGCUCAUGCACGAAAGCGUGGGGAGCAAACAGG